GGAAGUAGCUGAGAAGCCAUGUUUGUUAGGGGCAGACUUCACUCCGCCGCGCCUAGCGUGCCGCUCGCGCACACUGUUUGUUACUGGGUGGCCUCGGAACCUGCUCGUUUUUUAUCUCUUGUUUAAGGGCGUGGGCGUCUCUUAAGUGUCUAUAUUAUAAGGUUUCCGGGCUGUGACUGUCUCCUUGGGAACGUAAGCAAACAAAAGCUAAGUCCUAACAACCACAGCCCAUACAUAUCAGAACGCUGACUCCAGAACGUUCUGUUUGUACAUUCUCUUAAUUAUUCCCCCCAAAGGUGCGGUUGAGUUGCCUGCUCAAGUUCACACCCUUGAUCCCAGAGCCUCCUCACCUUCUGCAUUAUUGCCCUACUUAUCUUGCCCCGUUCUUUGGUUUUGCUGAGGUAGGAAAUAAUUUAUUAGAAGCUUCAUAGUAAUAACCAUAAAACAUUUAUAUACAUUUUAACUUAGUACUUGCAGGCAUGGAUAAAAAUUUCCACCUUGCUCCUGUUCCGCAAUCAUUUGCGUUCAACAUUCCUGUAACAUUUUAGGCUACUUUUAGGUAAAACUGACUGUUUAUUAAGAAUCAAAGAUUCUUAAUCUUUGAUUAAGCUGAGUGUGGUGGGAUAUACUUGAAAACCCAGUAUUUGGAAGGUAAAGUCAGGAGCAUCAAGAAUUCAAGGACAGCCCUGGUCUAGACUAUAUGAGACUCUGUGUCAAUCAAAAAACAAAAAGGAAAAAAAAAUUCUGCUUUUGAGACAGGGUGUCACAGUAACCCUGUCUGGUGUGGAACUUGUUAUAUAGAUCAGGCUGGCCUCAAACUUUGAGAUCUGCUGCCUCUGGAGUGCUGGAAUAAAAGUUGUCACCACCAAA
rnacentral:lncRNA from 1 species